UGAUGCUGAAAACAUGAACAUUUAGAAGGAUUAUUGAAUAGACAGUUCAUAUUUACCUAGAUUUCACAUUUUUAAGCAGUUCCUUAAAUUUCUUCCCAUCUGACUUGAAGGGGACAUGGCUUCAGUUUAUUCUCCUGGAGGUGUUCAUAAUCUCUGAGAAGUCUGGGAAUGUCAUCUUUUAAGGAGACUUUCUCUGCUAUAUUUCCAUCUACUGAUUUUCCCACUGAGUUGUUACUUUCAAAUGCUGUGAAGAAUGGAACUCAUUGUAUGUAUAUGUGUAUACAUACAUGUAUGUAUAGACAUUUUCCACUGAACUUCAGGUAACAAUUGUCUGUCAUCCCUAAGAAAACUGGAUAACAAUUAAAUAAUUCUUGUUGAUUUA